rnacentral:rRNA from 1 species
AUACGGAGGGUGCGAGCGUUAAUCGGAAUUACUGGGCGUAAAGCGUACGUAGGCGGUUUGCUAAGUCAGAUGUGAAAGCCCCGGGCUUAACCUGGGAACUGCAUUUGAUACUGGCAGACUAGAGUAUGAUAGAGGGGGGUAGAAUUCCUGGUGUAGCGGUGAAAUGCGUAGAUAUCAGGAGGAAUACCAGUGGCGAAGGCGGCCCCCUGGAUCAAUACUGACGCCGAGGUACGAAAGCGUGGGGAGCGAACAGGAUUAGAAACCCUAGUAGUCC